GAACUGCGAUAAGUAAUGUGAAUUGGAGAAUUCAGUGAAUCAUCGAGUCUUUGAACGCACAUUGCGCCCCCUGGCAUUCCGGGGGGCAUGCCUGUCCGAGCGUCAUUGCUGCCCUUCAAGCCCGGCUUGUGUGUUGGGUCGUCGUCCCCUCCGGGGGACGGGCCCGAAAGGCAGCGGCGGCACCGCGUCCGGUCCUCGAGCGUAUGGGGCUUUGUCACCCGCUCGAUAAGGACCGGCCGGGCGCCAGCCGGCGUCUCCAACCUUUUUUCUCAGGUUGACCUCGGAUCAGGUAGGGAUACCCGCUGAACUUAAGC
rnacentral:misc_RNA from 1 species